rnacentral:misc_RNA from 1 species
GAUGAAGAACGUAGCGAAAUGCGAUAAGUAAUGUGAAUUGCAGAAUUCAGUGAAUCAUCGAAUCUUUGAACGCACAUUGCGCCCCCUGGUAUUCCGGGGGGCAUGCCUGUCCGAGCGUCAUUACAACCCUCAAGCUCAGCUUGGUGUUGGGCCCCGCCGCCCCGGCGGGCCCUAAAGUCAGUGGCGGUGCCGUCCGGCUCCGAGCGUAGUAAUUCUUCUCGCUCUGGAGGUCCGGUCGUGUGCUCGCCAGCAACCCCCAAUUUGUUUCAGGUUGACCUCGGAUCAGGUAGGGAUACCCGCUGAACUUAAGCAUAUCAAUAAGCGGAGGA